GUGCACCAAGAGGUCAAACCGAGCACCACGAAGGAAAUAAACGUGGGUGUUUGUGCACAGCAAGGCCAGAGGGAGGAAUAUGAAGAAUGAGACUGCUAAGUCCUAACCACUCGACCACCAGGAAACUAGAACUGAGAAGAAUGAACGCAGAAAUCUCAAUGGUUCCAGGAAGCGUCAGAUGGACUGAGGAUGCUUUGUGUGAUUUAGACAAGGUACCAUGUAGAAAUAGAUACUGAAAAUUCCUAAUAGAAAAAAGUGAAAAAUUAUUGAGGCCAGAGUUUUUGAAACAAAACCCAGAUCAGAGUUGGCCAGAGUCCUGGCUUUCUGCUCCCCUGUAACUUCAAGGGAUCUAGUUGGCACUCAUGGGGUCUCCAUGAGCCUGGGGAACUUUGUGGGAUUGUACGUUAUCACAUGCAUACAGAAUGUCUAAAGUUUACGGAAAGUUCCUUGUUCCAAUUACUAUUGUCAUACAAUAUACCAUCCCAAAUCAGUGGUAUAAAUAACAACCAUUUUAUUAAGCUCACAAAUUCUGGGAGUCAGAAAUUGAGGCAAGGUACAGUGAUGAUGGUUUGUCUCUGACCCAUGAUGUGUAAGCUCUCAGCUGGGAGGACUCAGAUGGUUGUGGGUGACUUGAAUGACUAGGGGCAGAAACCAUUUGGAGGCUUCUUUUCUCACAUGUCUGGAGUAUGAAGUGGAACAACUCAAUGGCUGUUGACCUGAGGAUCUAUGUGUGGCCUCUCCAUGUGGCUGGGUGAGGGGCCAAGGAGUCUCUGGAAGAUGUAAAUGCUCCAAGAGAGUCCAGGCAAGCUGCAGAGCCCUUGUGAACUAGCCUUUGAAAUCUCACAGCAUCACCUUCACUUUUCCCUUGUGGUCAAAGAAUAUAGAAGCCUUCCUGGAUUCAAGGAGCAGAGUCAUAAAGCAGCCACCUCUUGAUGGGAGGAAUGGUAAAAAAAAAUUUGAGGCCAAGAAGCAAGCAAGCAAGCAAACAGAUUCCUAGUCCCUAAACUUGGAACCUUGACUUUACAUUUUCUAGCUGUGUGACCUUGAGCAAAAGACUCAACUUCUCUGUUGUCUACUUUUCUCAUCUACCAAAUAGUAGGUACCCAUUUCAUGGGGUUUGGAUGACAACUAAGUGAGAUAAACUUACACUGAAGCAUCUAGCACAUUGCCUGGAACAUAACUGUUCAAUACCACUUGAGCCUAAAUCUGAAGAAUGUUUGGCAGAAUACCAAGUCUAAAGUUAGGCUUAUUUUCUCAGGUUCAGAAGCAAGGAUUAAGUUGAAAAAGGAAUUGUGCUUUUGACAAAUGUAAAGACCUACUACAUGCCAGGCACGUCCUCCUAGUCAGGUAGAAAUAGAUACUGACAGUUCUAAGCCAGAAGCAGUUCUAAUUCAAGAGUUAGACUUGCAUCCAAAACUACCAGAGAGGGCAUUUCAGAUGAUUAUGGACACAAAUAUUACCUAAGCAUCUUAUCAUUUCUUUGACCAUAAAUUCUUUCCAGAACUGAGCUUUAGAAAAUCUCUCUGUACAUGCUCAAGCUCUUCUCUGUGCUGGUUUUACAGAUAUUUUAUUUGUCUAUUCUUACAUCUAUUAAGCUUCUUGUAUCCUUAAAUAUUGAAUUGAUUCAGCUGGAUUUCCUGGAAAAAGAGUGAAUGCUCUGUCCUUGGAUGAAGUCCUCAUUAGGAGAUGUUCUUUUCUGAGAAAAUCAUUGUGGUUCCUGGGUACUGUGCCAUUUAGUUGACUUGGUGCAACACUUUUAAUUAAUCAGUGAGAGGGAUGACAUGAGCCUUCUGAGGAGGCUUUCAGGAGUGUCUGAUAAGACAGACAGCAGUUCUUGAUGAAAUAUCACACACAUCUUGCCCUGUGAGGAGCAGUGAUCAUGGGUACACAGUGAAAAUUACUGACAGCAAGAGCUACAGUGGAUAACAGAGAAUUCUCACAAUCCAACAAGUGAUCUUGCUGAUGAAAAUAAAGGUGGAUUAAGAGCUGCAAACUGACCUUUUGUUCAUGGAGCAGUUGGGUUCUUCUCAUUUUAUGGGUUCAUCAUGCCAUGUUGUGGAUAAUAUCUUUCUAGCAAAGUUCAUUUAAAUAUGUGGAAAAGGAAAGCUUAGUAAUAGAAUAUGAAAGUAUUGUGAUCAUUAGAUUUGAAAGUAGUUCUUAAAAUGUAAUUUAUUGUAACCAAAUGUAGCUGAUUCUUUUUGUGUCCCAAAGCAUAUUCCCUCUACCUUUAUGCGACUUCAGCCAUAGCUGUGGUGGCCAUUUCCUGUGCAUGCUGAGGGAUUCUCCCCAGUGCCUGCUGCAUCUUGUUCAGCUCUCACAUAGAACAGCCUGGGAUAUGGCAAGGAGUGGGGUAUAGGAGUCAAAACCUCUGGAUGCAACUCUGAAACAAAGGAGGACAGGAAUGGGUCCAUAAUGGCUUCCUCUCCUAUGGAGGAAUCAUUCUGAGGUACAUUUUACAUCAUUUCCAGUGUGCUCCCAGCAGGAUUAGUCUCCAGCUGCCCACAGGAUUAAUCAUUUCAAGAACAUACCCUUCCUUAACUUUCUUCCUUGUCUGCCUUACUCUCCCUGCUCCUUCACUCCUGAUCCCUGAGCUCACCUCCCCAAUGAGAUACCUGGAACCUCCAAAUUAAAAUAUCAAAUAUCCUGGCUUAGUUGGACCUGAAAUUCAGAUAUGCCCAGAGGAGGAAGGGGGUCUCUCAUUCCAACUUUAAUAUAUAUUGCCUUGCACUGAUUGUCAUAGGAGCCAAGGCCAUAUAUGAACAAGGGACUCAAGUAGUGUCCUCAAAGUGGAAUGGACUGGGUUAGGGAAUAGGGCUUCUGAGAGAGACAGAGAGACUUCACCUAAAAGGAAGAAGGAGCCUGCUGUGAUUGAUUCAUUUAUUCAACGGAUAUUUAUUGAGAACCUUCUAUGUUUCAAGUACAGUUCUAUAUGCUGGAAAUGCAUCAGUGAAUUAAAGCAACAGAAAUCCUUGCACUCAUAAAGUUCGUAUUCUAGUGGAUGAAGACUGGCAAUUAAAAUAAUAAAAAGUAAAUUUUAAUAAA